rnacentral:rRNA from 1 species
GACGAACGCUGGCGGCGUGCUUAACACAUGCAAGUCGAACGGAAAGGCCCUGCUUUUGUGGGGUGCUCGAGUGGCGAACGGGUGAGUAACACGUGAGUAACCUGCCCUUGACUUUGGGAUAACUUCAGGAAACUGGGGCUAAUACCGGAUAGGAGCUCCCGCUGCAUGGUGGGGGUUGGAAAGUUUCGGCGGUUGGGGAUGGACUCGCGGCUUAUCAGCUUGUUGGUGGGGUAGUGGCUUACCAAGGCUUUGACGGGUAGCCGGCCUGAGAGGGUGACCGGCCACAUUGGGACUGAGAUACGGCCCAGACUCCAACGGGAGGCAGCAGUGGGGAAUAUUGCACAAUGGGCGGAAGCCUGAUGCAGCAACGCCGCGUGCGGGAUGACGGCCUUCGGGUUGUAAACCGCUUUCGCCUGUGACGAAGCGUGAGUGACGGUAAUGGGUAAAGAAGCACCGGCUAACUACGUG